AGACCUUUUCAGAAGGGGAAAAAUUAGGUUUCUCCAUUUUUCCCGCUGAAAAAGCCUUC
rnacentral:pre_miRNA from 2 species